UUUCCGUAGGUGAACCUGCGGAAGGAUCAUUACAGAGUUCGUGCCCUCACGGGUAGAUCUCCCACCCUGUGUUAUUAUACCUUUGUUGCUUUGGCGGGCCGCCCUCGGCUACCGGCCCCGGCUGGUACGCGCCCGCCAGAGGACCCCAAACUCUGAAUGUUAGUGUCGUCUGAGUACUAUACAAUAGUUAAAACUUUCAACAACGGAUCUCUUGGUUCUC
rnacentral:misc_RNA from 1 species